rnacentral:rRNA from 1 species
AUUGAACGCUGGCGGCAGGCCUAACACAUGCAAGUCGAGCGGAUGAAGGGAGCUUGCUCCUGGAUUCAGCGGCGGACGGGUGAGUAAUGCCUAGGAAUCUGCCUGGUAAUGGGGGAUAACGUCCGGAAACGGGCGCUAAUACCGCAUACGUCCUGAGGGAGAAAGUGGGGGAUCUUCGGACCUCACGCUAUCAGAUGAGCCUAGGUCGGAUUAGCUAGUUGGUGGGGUAAAGGCCUACCAAGGCGACGAUCCGUAACUGGUCUGAGAGGAUGAUCAGUCACACUGGAACUGAGACACGGUCCAGACUCCUACGGGAGGCAGCAGUGGGGAAUAUUGGACAAUGGGCGAAAGCCUGAUCCAGCCAUGCCGCGUGUGUGAAGAAGGUCUUCGGAUUGUAAAGCACUUUAAGUUGGGAGGAAGGGCAGUAAGUUAAUACCUUGCUGUUUUGACGUUACCAACAGAAUAAGCACCGGCUAGCUUCGUG